rnacentral:pre_miRNA from 1 species
AUCACCUGGGGAUCUUGUUGAAAUGCAGAUUCUGAUUCAGUGGGUCUAGGAUAGAGCUCAAGGUUUUGCAUUUCUAACAAAUUCCCAGGUGAUGCCAA